UCUACGGUAGGCAGCAGUGGGGAAUCUUGCACAAUGGGGGAAACCCUGAUGCAGCGACGCCGCGUGAGUGAAGAAGUAUUUCGGUACGUAAAGCUCUAUCAGCAGGGAAGAACAUGACGGUACCUGACUAAGAAGCCCCGGCUAACUACGUGCCAGCCGCCGCGGUAAUAUGUAGGGGGCAAGCGUUAUCCUGAUUCACGGGGUGGAAAUGGAGCGUAGACGGCAGCGCAAGUCUGGAGUGAAAUCCCAUGGCUUAACCAUGGAACUGCUUUGGAAACUGUGCAGCUGGAGUGCAGGAGAGGUAAGCGGAAUUCCUAGUGUAGAGGUGAAAUGCGUAGAUAUUAGGAGGAACACCAGUGGCGAAGGCGGCUUACUGGACUGUAACUGACGUUGAGGCUCGAAAGCGUGGGGAGCAAACAGGAUUAGAUACCCUGGUAGUC
rnacentral:rRNA from 1 species